rnacentral:rRNA from 1 species
GACGAACGCUGGCGGCGUGCCUAAUACAUGCAAGUAGAACGCUGAAGAGAGGAGCUUGCUCUUCUUGGAUGAGUUGCGAACGGGUGAGUAACGCGUAGGUAACCUGCCUGGUAGCGGGGGAUAACUAUUGGAAACGAUAGCUAAUACCGCAUAAGAGUAGAUGUUGCAUGACAUUUGCUUAAAAGGUGCAAAUGCAUCACUACCAGAUGGACCUGCGUUGUAUUAGCUAGUUGGUGAGGUAACGGCUCACCAAGGCAACGAUACAUAGCCGACCUGAGAGGGUGAUCGGCCACACUGGGACUGAGACACGGCCCAGACUCCUACGGGAGGCAGCAGUAGGGAAUCUUCGGCAAUGGACGGAAGUCUGACCGAGCAACGCCGCGUGAGUGAAGAAGGUUUUCGGAUCGUAAAGCUCUGUUGUAAGAGAAGAACGAGUGUGAGAGUGGAAAGUUCACACUGUGACGGUAUCUUACCAGAAAGGGACGGCUAACUACGUGCCAGCAGCCGCGGUAAUACGUAGGUCCCGAGCGCUGUCCGGAUUUAUUGGGCGUAAAGCGAGCGCAGGCGGUUAGAUAAGUCUGAAGUUAAAGGCUGUGGCUUAACCAUAGUACGCUUUGGAAACUGUUUAACUUGAGUGCAAGAGGGGAGAGUGGAAUUCCAUGUGUAGCGGUGAAAUGCGUAGAUAUAUGGAGGAACACCGGUGGCGAAAGCGGCUCUCUGGCUUGUAACUGACGCUGAGGCUCGAAAGCGUGGGGAGCAAACAGG